UUGCACGCUGGCGGAAUGCUUUACACAUGCAAGUCGAACGGCAGCACGGGGGCAGCCCUGGUGGCGAGUGGCGAACGGGUGAGUAAUACAUCGGAACGUGCCCGGUCGUGGGGGAUAACGUAGCGAAAGUUACGCUAAUACCGCAUACGAUCUGAGGAUGAAAGCGGGGGACCUUCGGGCCUCGCGCGAUCGGAGCGGCCGAUGUCAGAUUAGGUAGUUGGUGGGGUAAAGGCCUACCAAGCCGACGAUCUGUAGCUGGUCUGAGAGGACGACCAGCCACACUGGGACUGAGACACGGCCCAGACUCCUACGGGAGGCAGCAGUGGGGAAUUUUGGACAAUGGGCGCAAGCCUGAUCCAGCCAUUCCGCGUGCAGGACGAAGGCCUUCGGGUUGUAAACUGCUUUUGUACGGAACGAAAAGGCUCUGGCUAAUACCUGGGGCUCAUGACGGUACCGUAAGAAUAAGCACCGGCUAACUACGUG
rnacentral:rRNA from 1 species